GCUGUUUGGGCCCCUAGGAACUCCAGCAGACCAUCUGGCUGCUUCAGGACUUGAGUGCUAUCAGUAAAAGGUCUCACUGCCUCAAUUGUGGUAAACAUUAAGGAAUAAAUAUUGCCAAGAGUCACUCCCAGACAAACUAAGCUGCAAAGAAGACUCUGAGACCAGACCAGCUGCCACAAGGAAGCAGAAACCAGCCCUGCUACCUGGAAGACUCUGAGACCAACUGAGGCACCAGGAAAGGAUACUCUCCAACCUGUUGACCUUCCUGCAGGCUGUGCAGUGUGCACCAGGUUUCCAGCUACUACAAACUAUCACUCAUGCUGGGGAGGGCUCAUAUAGCUAUCUUUGAGCCAUUUCUUCUCCUAUAAGUAACUCUUCAUUCAUGUUCCUGUCUCUCCAGCCAGUCUCCCCAUCC
rnacentral:lncRNA from 1 species